CCGACCUGCCUUUCAGGCAUCCUCUCCCAAGACUUCCAAGGCCCGGCGGGUUUUCCCACCGGGCCUUUUUUUGUCCGCU
rnacentral:sRNA from 1 species